rnacentral:rRNA from 1 species
UGGGGAAUAUUGCACAAUGGGCGAAAGCCUGAUGCAGCGACGCCGCGUGAGGGAUGACGGCCUUCGGGUUGUAAACCUCUUUCAGCAGGGACGAAGCGCAAGUGACGGUACCUGCAGAAGAAGCACCGGCUAACUACGUGCCAGCAGCCGCGGUAAUACGUAGGGUGCAAGCGUUUUCCGGAAUUACUGGGCGUAAAGAGUUCGUAGGCGGUUUGUCGCGUCGUUUGUGAAAACCAGCAGCUCAACUGCUGGCUUGCAGGCGAUACGGGCAGACUGGAGUACUGCAGGGGAGACUGGAAUUCCUGGUGUAGCGGUGAAAUGCGCAGAUAUCAGGAGGAACACCGGUGGCGAAGGCGGGUCUCUGGGCAGUAACUGACGCUGAGGAACGAAAGCGUGGGUAGCGAACAGG